GCGCUCCCCCCUCCCGCACGGCCACGUGACACGAGGAUCACGUGACAGCUCCGAGUCACGUGGGCGCCCUGGGCGCCGCCAUGGCGGUCCCGGGGAUGCCCCUGAAGCGUCGCGGCCGCCCCGGAGCCCCCGAGCCCUGGGACCGCCCCUGGAUCCCUGGCAGUGCCCAAGGACAGGCUGGACAGGGCUUGGAGCACCCUGGGACAGUGGAAGGUGUCCCUGCCCGUGGCGGGAGGUUGGACUCGGUGGUCCUUGAUGUCCCUUCCAACCCAAAGCAUUGCGCGGCUCUGUGGGUCUGUGGUUACAGGACACCUGUCUUGGCUGCAGAAACCCGCUGGUAUGUUUUAGGAGAGCUUGCAGCAGAUGCUGAAACUAACAACCCUGAAAAAGCAGGCGCUUCCAUUCAGAAAGGAACAAAGGAUUUUCGGGAAAAGCCUGCAGCCUUCUCAAGUACUGGGAGGAGACCCAUCAAGAUAAGGUGGCCCAGCGACUCACACCUUGGUUACCACCUUCACAGACCAUCAAGCGACAUCAUCCUUAUCUCGAUCAUUCAUCAACCAUAAGGAUCUAUAGAAAUUGGACAUUAACACAUGAACUGAAAAGAAUUCUUUUCUGCCUGGUCGGGGAAACUCCUGAAUUUGUAUUGGUCGGGAAACAAAGGGAAAUAUGGGAAAAUAUUGCCGGGGGCGGAAUAAAGUGUAUAAAAACCAAGCCCCGAACCGGGCAAAUUUGUGAACCUUUGGGGGAGAUAGCAGACUGCCAGACCCUGUAUCUCACGGUUCACCCUUGACAUUUCCCGGGAAAAACUCUGUCAAGUGUCUCCGCUGUUGGUGGGUUUUCGAAAUUCUGUGAUUCGAUCUUUAUUAAUAAACCAAAUUAUUAUUUUAAUUGGAAUAUCGUAUUGGCAUUUAUAACACCAGGAUGUCCUUUUUGUGUCCCCAGGGAGGCGCCAGCCCCCUCGCGUGUGUGGGUUGGCGUCGUGAGUGGGGUGUGUAAUAAAUGUAGUGGGUUAAUUCGUGUUUCUUGGGGAUAAUGACAUAAUAAAAUCAUGGUUUGGUAAAAUAUAAAAUAAAUUGUAACUUAAAUUCCAGCCAGCCAUGGAAUUAGAGUUCCUAGGCGGCUCCACCCAGUAACUACUAUUCAGGGGUACACAAUAAGGUGCCGGAACUGGAGAUGAUGAGAUUGGCAUCUGAAAGAAGGACACAUUAAGAUAAAUCAGUUCUUUUCCCGUGGGCAGCAGAGCCAUCAGAGCACCAUCAUCACCUGGAGAUCUGGAGAAAAACGCCCUUCCAUUCACAAACCUCGGUUUCCAUUCACCCAGGGAAGCCCGAAAUUGGCACCUCGAAGUACCGGAGGAAAAUCUCUUCAUACCCAGUCCUGGGAACAAAGAGACUGUGGGUAAACCUUGUGCCAGGGGCAAAAUAAAGUGUAUAAAACCCGAGCCCCGAACGAGGCAACUUUGUGAACUCUGGGGGGAUUGCAGUGUGCCAGAUACUGUGUCCCAGUUCACCCUUGACAAUCUCAGGUAUAUUGUCAACGUAACUCCACUGGGUUUAUACCGAAAUUCUGUAAUUUGAUCCUUUAAUAAACCAAAUUAUAUUUUAAUUGGACUUGUGGAUUGGCAUUUAUAACAGGUGUAUGGGAGGCUGGUGUCCGUGCUGACACUUGUCACUGCAGCUGUCCCAAGAGAACGGGGGGAUUUGGGUGACUCUGGACCUGUGGAGGUCUGGCCCGAGCCCCUGCUCCAGCAGAGCCACCCAUGGCCCGUUUCCCAGGGCUGUGCCCACACAGAUUUUGAGUAUUUCCAAUAAUCACAGCUCCGCUGUUCCCAGAAAUCUUUCUCCUGUCUGCUGCAGGCUUUCAGCAGUGGCAAACUAUUUAAAUAUUGCCCUGAGCCUUACAUAGCCUUGUGCUCCUUCCUGAUAGUUCUACCAGGUUUGCUUCCUGUCCACCUCUUCCUUCAGGUCAGGCUUUUAUCCCCUGGCAAGUGAGGAAUUCCCGUUUUCCGGAGGCCAGGGCGGUGUGGAGGGGAGCUGAUGGCACCUCAGGCUUUAAACCUGAGGGAACUCACGGAAUCCCGGACUCACUUUGCCCUGGGAGGCAUCAGCUUUGUCACCAGAGGGCAGAAGACCUCUCCAAUAAAUCUGCCGUCGGGAAAAGCGCUGGAAUUGCAGGGUUUUUAAAGAAAAACUACGUUUAUCUGUUUCUUUUAGUGACGCUGACGGAGUUGGGUAGGAUUCAUUCGAGUUAAAACCUGCAGGAGGUUUUGGGCGUGAUGUUUCCUCCCCACUUAUGAGGGAAGGUGGAUGGACCUCAGCCUCCAAAUCCUCGCCCUGAACAUCUGGGAUCCAACACAGAUUUGCUGCGUUUUGAGUGUUUUCCACUCCUUCAGGCACGUGCUGGGGAAAUCAGGGAACCCCCAGAGAUGCUCCAGUGGGGGAUGUGGCUUUUCCAAGCGAGGUCUUGGCAGGGGAGGGAAGGGGAAUUGCCUUCCCACCACUGCAGCUGGAUUGAAGCGUGCUGGUCCAGCCAGGGUGAAGCUUUCCCCCAGUUCCCCAGCCCAGCUGUGGAUCCAUCCCCAAAACCCCCCUGGUUCUCCCCGCUUCUCCCACCUGUGACACAGCCAAACAAACCACGCAGUCCUGUUUUUAAAACGGGGCCUUUCUCCAUUUUAUUUUGCCCAAUAAAAAUCCUUCACAGUCAGGUCGAGAGAGGAGAGCUGGAGAUACGUAUACAUAUAGAUCUGCAUGUCUAUUUAUAUAUAUACAUACCUCUGUACAGAUAUAUUUAUAUAUUCACCGUAGAAAAUGGCAAAGGCAGUAGCUCUUCACAUCUGGAUAACCCAAGGGGAACAGACAACAGACCAGCAGGGAACUGGGGAAGUGUGGUGGAGUUUUAACAAGAACCUCUGAAACAGAUACACCUUGGCUGUACAAAAGAAAAAAUCCCAGAAUGCUGCGUGUCACCUCUUUUUUCUUUUUUUUUUCCUUUUUUUUCUUUUUUUUUUUUUUUUCCCUUCAACUUCUUGUCUUUUAAACACACUUAACCAGAGGCAAAGUCAAGACAACGGUGUUUGGAAGUGACCAGGAGGACAGGAGAGACACCCGACUUUAUGGAGUUCUUUUUUUAAAUAUUUUUGUUAUUUUUUAAAGUAUAUAUAUAUUUAUAUAUAUAUAUAAUUUUUAAGAUUUUUUUUUAAGUUUUUUUUUUCUUUUAGGGUUUUUUUUGUGGGUUUUUUUUGCAAAGUCUCGUUUAAACGCAGUUCGGAGAACCAGCAAACAGUCGACGCGGAAACAGAACAGUAACGGAGUCGAGUUCAGAACACUUCUGGUUUGAAUUCACAGUCAGAGGAAAAGAGAGAGAAAGAGAAGAAGAAGAGAAAGAGACACCGAGGCGUCAGGAAACGAGAGGGAGGAAAGCACGAGGCUGAAUUUACACUCGGGGAGGUGCGGGGUGGGACGAGGGCUCUCCCGCAGGAGAAGGGCGCGGUGCCAGCGGAGCUCCUGUUAUUGCUGGUGAAGCCGGACAGCGGCCUCGCCCCGCACGGAGCCGGGGCUCCGGGGCACGGCUGUGCCUCUGCCGGAGGGCGGAGGAUUCGGGUUUGGGGCGAGCGAGCCCCUCCGCAGCGCGGCUCCUCCGGGCUCACAGCGAUACCGGGUCCCGGAGAGUGCAAACGAAGAUGCCCCGGAGGAGCGGCGGCCGCCUGGGAAGGGACUGCAUAGACACUUCAGCCGGGUGUGCAGCAUCGGGCGGUGCUGGGGCUCUGCCCGCACGCGUUCUGCUCCCUGCAGCCACGGGAGAGGGGGUGAGGGGCUUCUCCUCCCAGCCUGGCUAUCAGGAGUGGCAGGACUCACUGGGUGUCACCGAAUGUGGCUCUGUGAGCUUAGACACCCCAGGGGCUCCCUGCUGCAGGGACCCAGUGACAGCCAUGGGGGUGGGUCACACCUCCGGGGUGUCCAGGCUGGUGGUCUGCUGGAUGUGGGGAGCUUUGGGCUCUCCGGAUAAACGGGGCCACCGAGAUCACACCACUGUGGUUAUUGAGAGCCAGACUGGACCUUGCAUCCCUUUCCAAAGGAGGUGAGGCCAGGGCUGGAGCUGUGAAGGUGUUCACGGGAAUGUUGGCUCGCCUGCAGGUGUCAGAGUUGGGAAGAGCCCCUUUUAAAUCUCCCUGGAAAGAUCUAUUGCUUUGGGACAAAAAGGAGAGACUUCCUGCCGGAGAAAACAGAUUUGUGAACGAGCUGUGGAGACACAGCCUGGUCCCAGGCUCCAGACCUGACACGAUCCCCGUCAUCGGGAGAACCAGGCAGGAGGAUUAUCCUGAAAAUAAAGGAGCUUGGUGCUGACGGCCAGCAUGGAACAUUUUACUGGGAAGCCAACAUCUGCAAACAGCUGGAUGUGAUCCUUGAUACACUGCGGGGUCCUGCGUGCCCCUAAGGAGCUCGCUGACCCCUCACACCCCUGAUUUUUCUAGAGGGUGGAAAGACCAGGGAGCUCCAGAGCUGGGUGGUGAUGGUGUGAAUCCCCCUGCAAUGAUCCCUCAGGAUUGCAGGCCAUGGGAAUGUCCUUCAGCAGGAGGCCAGGUUGUCCUUGGAGGUAAAGCAGGGCUGAUGGAGCUGCCGUGGGAAUGUCAGAGGGGAGAGGAUCAGUGUUCUGGAAAGCUCCUGAGAGCAGGGUUGGGAUAACCCAUUCUCAGUGGGGGCUGUAGCUCCAGCCUGUCCAGAUGUGCCGGGGAGAGCACUGGGAGAGGCACUGACUGCUCCAGUGGGAUGGGGAUGAUCCAAAAGGAGGCAGGAGAGCCUGGAGAGCUGCAGCAGAGGAGCAGCAGGGCACAGGCAACACAGGAGCAGAGAUUUAGCAAGGGGUCUUGGUGAACAGUAACUUCUAUAAAGGGGUUUCAAGGCUUAAACUGAAGGUUUGGGUUAAAUUAACAGUGAGUUGGGCUCUCUCCCAUCCCAGGGAUGGAGUGGAGAAGGCUCAGCACGGCUGGGGAGCAGAGGCACAGUGAGAGGCAUCUGCCCAAGGCCCAGACCCACCUGAACAGCCACCUGCAGGAGCACAGAUCUCCCACUGGCCUCCUGCCAGGCCCAGGAGCCUUCAUGGGGCAAAGAUGGGCGGAGAUGCCUUCAGCACCCCAAGCAGGAGAAGCGAAGAACACGCUGCCUUCACCUUGGAAUGUGGUUCCUUGGUAAGGAGGGUGCUGAGGAUGCCCUGGGGUGAGCUGAGGACACCAAGAGGGCAGCCAGCAGGACCACCAGGCCUCAUUUUCCUGGACAAUUCCCACUGAGCCAGAAGAAUUGACUGGACCCUGUAGUGGUGUCUGCUGCUAACCUAGAGCAGACCUAUUGCUCUGAAGACGAGAGGCAUGAAGUUGCCUGAAGACAAAAGGAUGCAUGGCUUGGUGUGCAUCCUCUCUUCUCCUCAAGAAGAAAGGGAAUGGCAUCCAUCCCAACUCCUAGGGACAGCCCCUGGCCUUUAAUCUCCACGGGAAAUGUGUGGAGCUAUUUGCUAUGGCUGUGGAGGACACUGGUGUCAACUGGGGACCAUCACCUCACCCAGGAACUCCUUUCUGUCCUGUCCUGUCUCGCACAGGAAAGGCCCAUAUGGACCUGCAAACAUUCCCAAGUGGGACACGGGGAAAUCCUGUCCCCUGCCAGUUCUCAUUCCCCUUUUCCAGCCCACACCAGCCUCAUCUCUCUGCAGGAAAGCAGAGACACAGCUCCAAGUGUGCAGCCCAACGCUCCCCAGAGAUCUUUGGUCAUGUUGCUUGUGAGCUCACUGCCUUGAGCGAGCCUAAAGUGCCACUGCAAGGUGCAGGAGGGGAGCAGGACGAUCCUGUCCAUGGGCAGAGCUCAGGGGACACCUCUGGGAGCCACUGUCUGCGUGGAGUCUGGGUGUGACACCAGACGGGCACAGGGGGCUUCACCCUUAACCAGGGGGCAAUUGCAAACCUGGCCCAGGGUGACAGCAAGUGCCAAAGCAGGACAGAGUGACACCAGGCUGAGCUAAUCCCAAGUGGAUUGGUUUCCUGGGAGGUGCUGAGGCCCAGAUUCCCACUGCAGCCAGGCACAGCUCGGGGUGCUGACACCCCCCGUGCAGCGCUCAGCGCCGCUCGCCAACAGAGAAGCCACAGAGCCUUCUUGUCUCCAUUUAAUCAUCAACACACAGAGCUGGGCUCUUAUUUACAUCCAAGUACACUUCUCUCUGUACAACAGCGUGAGAGCAACAAUUCCAUUCCUCUGUGGAGCGUGGAAACCCGGAGGUGAGUGCCCACCACCAGUGACAGCAGGACUGGGGCCACCAGCUGCCAGCAGACAGUGGCAGGAGCUAAGUGGGGCUGCGUGAGGCACAGCAACAUGCCCUGGUUGUGGUGUUCACCCUGGAGUGAGAGGGGAGUGCUGGAAUCAGCCCAGCUGGGGUGCUGGGACAGCAGGAGCAGCCAGCCUUGGUGGUGGAGCAAAGCAACCCCACUCACAGCAGAGCAAGACCUUCCCUGGCACUGGGAUAGCCUGCUCAGCCCAAAUCCUCAUGGAUGGAAGCCACUGGAGCUGGUCAGUGUCCUCUGUUUGCCAUGUGGAUGUGCCUGGAGCAUGACUGGGCUCUGUACAUGGGGGUGCUGUGACACCAGAGCUGCUCCAGGACUGCCACCACUGGCCUGGCUCUCCCAAAAAUCUUGGAUCAUAUUGUCCAGCUGCAUGUGUUGGGUAUCCCAGAGCAUCUCUGAUGCUUGUGGACCCCAUGUGUGGGCAACUGAGCUGAGACCCUCAUGGCCACAGCUUGUGGUGGUGGCCAGUGGCAAGUUAGAGGUAGGACUUGGAGAAUGACACGUGAGCCAGGAUGUCACACUGAAUUCCACUAGCUCCAAGGUGGAGGAGACAGCUGGGGGAUGGUCAAGCCCAAGUUCCAUGGGACAGGAACAAUUCAUCAGCCCUGCCUGAGCCUCCAAGAGACACACCUCCUUGGCCAUUCCCAGGAUAUGUCACCCAAACACCAGCCUGGCACCCCUUGGCUGUCCUAACCCAGGGCUAAGACCCCAGAGCCUCAACAAAGCUUUUGAUGAGAGAUUUCAUCAACUUGUGAAAGUGUCAAGAUGUGGAAGGAGCUGGGUGAGCUCCCACCUGGGCACAAACAGCAGGAAUCCAGGUGUCACACCAUCAUUUUGCUCCAUCUCUGCUGAGCAAAGGGCUGGCACAGGGGAAAGGACUUGAAGGGGAGCAGCACAUCCAGCUGUGGGGAGGAAUCCUGAAGCACAGGAAUGUGGCAGUUUGGCUCCCAAAACCAUCUGUAUUUUCCAUAGCACAGGCGGGGUGGUUUUUGAAGGACAGCCAGAUGCUGGGGGGAUCCUGGGUGGGAGGAUCCCGAGAGAGGGAAAAACCAGGAGCAGAGUGUCUUAAUGGAUAUCUGCAAGGCUCUGUCAGCCAGGGAGUGUCCACAGUCGAGGUCUCUCAGAUCUGGCUUGAAACUCUGGAUUGAUGUGAUGCAGUGAGGAAGGGGAGCGGGCCUUUCCUCUGAGAUGAACAAUCUUCACAAGAACAGACACCAAACACCUGCUUUGGGAGGGAGGACAACGUGGGCCUGUCUGAUGUGAAAAGAAAGCUGAGAUGGUGCAAGACACCAGAUCUCCAACCCUGACACUGUGGGGUGUUAGAACUUUGUCUGGAAGGCCUGGAGUGUGACACGGAGGAAGCUCUAGGAUUUGCCUGGCCAGGUAGGUGUGGGUGUCUCCCUGGGCAUGGCAGAGUCGGCAGCUGUGUGGCACUGGCAGGCAGCUGCACUCCUUCCCUGCUGGGGUGCACGGGAUGACGUCCAAAGUGCUGGAGCAUCUUCAGGAUUUGCAGCAGGACUCUUCCCCACACCCAUCAGGAGUCAGGCCUGACCUAAUCCCCCUUUUAUGGCUGGUCCAGGGAAAGGGGCUUAGCCUGAGCAGCC